GACGAACGCUGGCGGCGUGCUUAACACAUGCAAGUCGAACGGAAAGGCCCGCUUUUGUGGGGUGCUCGAGUGGCGAACGGGUGAGUAACACGUGAGUAACCUGCCCUUGACUUUGGGAUUACUUCAGGAAACUGGGGCUAAUACCGGAUAGGAGCUCCUUCUGCAUGGUGGGGGUUGGAAAGUUUCGGCGGUUGGGGAUGGACUCGCGGCUUAUCAGCUUGUUGGUGGGGUAGUGGCUUACCAAGGCUUUGACGGGUAGCCGGCCUGAGAGGGUGACCGGCCACAUUGGGACUGAGAUACGGCCCAGACUCCUACGGGAGGCAGCAGUGGGGAAUAUUGCACAAUGGGCGGAAGCCUGAUGCAGCAACGCCGCGUGCGGGAUGACGGCCUUCGGGUUGUAAACCGCUUUCGCCUGUGACGAAGCGUGAGUGACGGUAAUGGGUAAAGAAGCACCGGCUAACUACGUG
rnacentral:rRNA from 1 species